AACAUUUAAAAUCUUCUUUAUUGACUCCUUUACUCUCAGGAAAUAACAAAUAAAUGUGAAAAUAGGCGGAUGAUAUAAUUAAGAAUAUAUAAUCAAACAAAUACAAACACGAUUAUCAAUAACUUUAUUUAUUAUUUAUAAACAUCUGUUUAUCAUGCUACAUCGAUCUUAUUAUAUAAGUAGUCUUACUGGAUUAUUAUUUCCUCACUAAGGCCAAAAAGCCACUCGUUACACGGAUUACAUAUAAGUUUAUUAUUAUAUCAAUAACUCUGAGUGGAAUUUAGGGUUUCACAUAUAUAUAUAUAAAACUGAAGAACUAAAAGUAGCUAGCUAGGGUUUCACAAAUGUUGGUCGUCACUUGACUAAGCAGCCGGAGCAUAAUCAUAGCCACCGUCAUCGUCGUCAUCGUCCCCGUCACCCUCCAUGGAUGCAGCCGGAGCCAAGUCACAGCCGUCGUCGUCAUCGUCGUCGUCGUCUCCAUCCCCUUCAAAUGGUUCAUUACGGUAAUAGUAAGGACAGCCAUAAACAUGAAUGCUAUCGUCAUCACGAUGAUGCACAUUACCAUGCGUGAUGCCCUCUAAUGAUGAGCUCAUGGGAGCCAUAUUUUAUUUGGUUCAAUGAACAGAGAAACAAAAAAUUAAUAACAGGAAAUUGCAAUCGUCUGACCUGGGUCAAUAUACGAGGAGAGAUUAAACUUAAAUAGAGGGGGAAAAGGCGAAGCCUUGGAAGGGGCUUGUUCCGGUUUCUGGUUGUCUCGUGGAACUUUGAGGCAAAAGUGUGUAGGGCUCGUGACGAAAAUGGCCACGUGAAGGCCUAGGUGGCAGCAUCGUAGACAGUUCUCUGUAAUGCAGAAUCUGUGCAGUGUCCAUAUCAAUUGAUAAUUUGACAUGUACAUGGAAAGCUGUGUCCAUGAGAUCUUUUUGUUUUUGUGCUUUUUCUUGGGGAGAUAGUGGAAGCAAAUGUGCAAAGCAUGUGAUGAUAUGAACCGAGGAUACAAGAAAAAUCUUCAGUUUUUGUGGCUAUAUGUACUACUACUAAUAUAAUAAUUAGCUUUUCAAGUAGAAUUGUGUCAUUAGUAUUAGUUAUGUGCCUUCAUGACAUUUUAAUUAUAAGUCGGUCUUUUCAAAAAAAAAAAUUAUUAUAAGUCGGUGGCCAUUCAAAUAUGAGCUUAUAUUUGCGACUCAACUUAUGAUUUUUGAGAUUAUUUAUUAUUCUAUUUAAUCAUUUAAUCCAUGCUUACAUCUUACUUGAGGAUUGUAAAGGUUGGAAUAAUAAGUGGGAAGUGUACCACUAGUGAUCAAGUCAUUGUAAAAUGUGUUUCUCAAAUAUUUAUAAGAAAAUGCUUAACGUCGGGAAGACUGAGAGAACGCCGCCCGAAACGGCAGUUUGUGCUGGCGUUUCGUCUCUUGGCCCCCACUCCUCCAUGUUACUUUCUCUUUUCAGUAUUCUUUUUUUAAAAGGACAAAGCAAGCAGUUAGUCUUUUUUUGUCCCCAACGUGACCAUGCUUAACUUUUGUUGAGAGAAGGGCAAAGUAACUUUCUUUUUCUCAUUCACUAGACUGCCUUCUUUACAAUUUUUCUCUCAUCACUUAGCAGUAGUUCACAAGUAGGAGAGAUGACAUUUUUUCUUUAGCAGUAGUUCAUCACAAGAGAACUCGAAACAACAUUUUUUCCUCAUCACAAGCAAGAGAGAAACGGCAUUAGCAGUAGUGGCCGAUCUAGAUCUUGAAGUAAAACACCUAGCUGGUAAUUACCUGAUUAUAAAGAGUGAUUUUUUUUUAUUUUUCCUAUUAAUUUUUAUUAUAUGAUAAUAAUAGAAAUGUACUUGCAUUUACUGGUUAAAUGAUAAUGAUAAAUGUGUUUUAUUUAGAAAUUUUUAAAUUUAAAUUUUGUGUUCAAUUUAGAAAUAUUUUUAUUUAAAUUAUGUGUUUGAUUUAGAAUUUUUUAAAUUUAAAUUUUGUGUUCAAUUUAUCAUUUUUUAAUUUAAAUUUUUAGAACUUUAAUAGAUUAAAUUAUUGCCAGAUGGUGUUUGGAAAAAUUUAUAAUAAUUUAUUCUUAAUACAAAUAUUAAUUAUUUUGUAGAAAUGGAAAAUUUGGAACAUGAAGAUGGAGUCGAAGAUGUGCAAUCGGAAAAAUAUGAGCCGACUCUUGAGAUGUUAUUUGACAGUCAUGAGGAAAUGUGGCAAUUUUACAAAGCCUAUUGUGAACAAGAAGGGUUUCCUGUGAAGAAGCUAACUAGUAAGAAAUGGAGCGAUGAAAUUGUAAGAUACACGACGUUGCAUGUGGUCGUAGUGGCAAGUCAGAAAGUAAAUCUACUGAUGUGCUGAAACCAAAACCUAUUGCGAAAACUGGUUGUGAUGCUAGAAUGAGAGGUUGUGUAAAUGAAGAUGGAAAAUUGGUUCUUUGAACUUUAAACAUUCAACACAAUCAUGGAUUAAGUCUGAACAAAGCUAAAUAUUUUUCUUGUAAUCGCAACAUUAGUGCAAGUGCAAGAAAGCAUAUUAAAAUGAAUGAUUGUGCAUGAAUUAAAAUUGCCAGCAAUUUUAAUUUUAUUGUUGUUGAAGCUGGUGGAUAUGAAAAUGUGUCAUUUCUAAAAAAAAAUAUUGUAGAAAUCUUGUUGACAAAACUAGGCAAUUACAACUUGGAGAAGGAGAUGCUAUGACAAUUCUAAAGUACUUCCAGAACAAGCAAGCAUAAUGCAAUGGUUUUUUUUUUCAGUAUUGAUUUGGAUGAGCAGGAAGUUUCCAACAUUUGCUACAUCAACAACGUAAUGAACACAACAAUGGAUGUGAUUGAUGUUUGAAUUUGGCUAAAUCGAACUAAUUUAGUGAUGAACAUGUAAUUGCACAAUUGUUGUUUUUCUAUAAUUGUUUUGGUUUGGUAGCUUUUUUCGAUGGUAUUUUUUGACAAUUUUCCAUGACAUAAGUCAGUACAAUAACAACAAUAAAAACUUAAAACAACAACUUGAAUCUUAUAUUUAGAGGGACGGUACAAUUAUAUAUGUCUACAAAUUUUUAAUGAAAUAAUUGUACAAAUUAAAACAACUUAAAAAUAAAAAUUUAAUAUAAAGCAUAAUACAAUAAUCAUAAAAAUUUUAAUGAAAUAGUAAAUUGGUUCAUGUUUACUUCGAAGUUGCGUAUGCUCAAGUUCUUUAUGCAACAAUUGAAACUUAAUCCGACAAUUUUCACCAAAUAAUUACUAACAAAAUUUUCAACAUAUGCAAUACAUAUACCAACCGACAAUUUUCACCAAGUAAUUACCAACAAAAAUUUUUACCCAACUGGAAAUUUUCACCAAAUAAUGAUCAACAAAAAUUUCAACAUGUGAAAUACAUAUACAAACCGCCAAUUCUCACCAAAUAAUUACCAAAUAAUUCCCAACAAAAUAAUUACCAAACAAAAUACUUACCGAAUAAUUAAUUACCAAUAAAAUUACCAACAACAUAAUUACGAAAUUAAGUAACUACCAACAAUAUAAUUACCAAAAUAAUUCUCAACAAAAUAAUCACUCAACAAAAAUAAUUACCAAACAAAAUGAUUACCAUAAUUAAUUACCAAAAUAAUUCUCAACAAAAUAAUCACUCAACAGAAAUAAUUACCAAACAAAAUGAUUACCAUAAUUAAUUACCAAUAAAAUUACCAACAACAAAAUUACCAAAUUAAGUAAUUACCAAACAAUUACCAAACAAAAUAAUACUUACAAAAUUACCAACAAUUAUAAAAAAUAAUUACCACUGAGCAGCGACCACGGAGUAGAUCUGUAGUAACGAGCGAGUGAGGAACAAAAUUACCAACAAUUAUCAAAAAAUAAUUAUAAAAAAAUCACGUGCGGGAGAGAGUGCUGGAGUGAUCUGCAGUCAAGGGAGAGAGUGCUAGAGGAAGGAGUGGAGUGUGCUGAGGGAGGGAGAGAGGGAAACCCUUGAUCUGCAGUCAAGGCUUCUACAUCGAGACUGCCUUCUCUCCUUCGUAUCACAACUACCUCAACGCCUUAGUGUGCUGAGGGAGGGAGAGAUGGACGAUGGCUGAGAGAGAGUGUUUCUGACAAUGAUGGUCGAGAGAAUGGCAAAACAGUAGCUUACUUCUUUUCUUUGAAAAUAAUGCUGCCUUACUUUUCAUUUUUCUAUUAUUUCUAUUAAAUGGCUAGAUGGUUGAGAGAAUGGCAAAAUGACAGCUUCUCUCAACCAUCUAGCCAUUUAGCAGUACUCAACUUUCUUUGUUGUUAAAAAAAUAUGCAUCUUUCUGAAAAUCAUUGCUUUGAUAAAUUUGUACAUUCAUGAGUUAUGGCUACU
rnacentral:lncRNA from 1 species